rnacentral:rRNA from 1 species
GACGUAGGGCGCGAGCGUUGUCCGGAUUUAUUGGGCGUAAAGAGCGCGCAGGCGGCCCAUCAAGUCAGAUGUGAAAUAACCAGGCUUAACCUGGUGGGGUCAUUUGAAACUGGCGGGCUAGAGACCAGCAGAGGAUAGCGGAAUUCCCGGUGUAGUGGUGAAAUGCGUAGAUAUCGGGAGGAACACCAGUGGCGAAGGCGACUUUCUGGGCUGUAACUGACGCUGAGGCGCGAAAGCGUGGGGAGCAACAGGAUUAAGAU